UGGGGAAUAUUGCACAAUGGAGGGAACUCUGAUGCAGCAACGCCGCGUGCGGGAUGACGGCCUUCGGGUUGUAAACCGCUUUCAGCCAUGACGAAGCUUUUGUGACGGUAGUGGUAGAAGAAGCACCGGCUAACUACGUGCCAGCAGCCGCGGUGAUACGUAGGGUGCGAGCGUUGUCCGGAAUUAUUGGGCGUAAAGAGCUUGUAGGCGGUUUGUCGCGUCGAUAGUGUAAACACGCAGCUUAACUGUGUGCCUGCUGUCGAUACGGGCUGACUAGAGGAGGGUAGGGGAGAUUGGAAUUCCCGGUGGAGCGGUGGAAUGCGCAGAUAUCGGGAGGAACACCAGUGGCGAAGGCGGUUCUCUGGACCUUUCCUGACGCUGAGAAGCGAAAGCGUGGGUAGCAAACAGG
rnacentral:rRNA from 1 species